UCUUCCGUAGUAUAGUGGUCAGUAUGUGAGCUUGUCAACCGGCAACGCUCGAGACCCGGGUUCAAUUCCCGGCGGGAGAG
rfam:Thielavia terrestris NRRL 8126 chromosome 4, complete sequence.